CCUACGGGAGGCAGCAGUAGGGAAUAUUGCUCAAUGGGGGAAACCCUGAUGCAGCAACGCCGCGUGGAGGAAGAAGGUUUUCGGAUCGUAAACUCCUGUCGUCAGAGAAGAUAAUGACGGUAUCUAACGAAUAAGCACCGGCUAACUCCGUGCCAGCAGCCGCGGUAAUACGGAGGGUGCAAGCGUUACCCGGAGUCACUGGGCGUAAAGGGGGCGUAGGCGGGGUAGCAAGUCAGAUGUGAAAGCCUAUGGCUUAACCAUAGAACUGCAUUUGAAACUGCUAUGCUAGAGUAUAGGAGAGGUAGGUGGAAUUCUUGGUGUAGGGGUAAAAUCCGUAGAGAUCAAGAGGAAUACUCAUUGCGAAGGCGACCUGCUAGAACGUAACUGACGCUGAUGCGCGAAAGCGUGGGGAGCAAACAGGAUUAGAUACCCGGGUAGUC
rnacentral:rRNA from 1 species